GCAAGUCUGAUGGAGCAACGCCGCGUGAGUGAAGAAGGCUUUCGGGUCGUAAAACUCUGUUGUUGGAGAAGAAUGGUCGGCAGAGUAACUGUUGUCGGCGUGACGGUAUCCAACCAGAAAGCCACGGCUAACUACGUGCCAGCAGCCGCGGUAAUACGUAGGUGGCAAGCGUUAUCCGGAUUUAUUGGGCGUAAAGCGAGCGCAGGCGGUUUUUUAAGUCUGAUGUGAAAGCCCUCGGCUUAACCGAGGAAGCGCAUCGGAAACUGGGAAACUUGAGUGCAGAAGAGGACAGUGGAACUCCAUGUGUAGCGGUGAAAUGCGUAGAUAUAUGGAAGAACACCAGUGGCGAAGGCGGCUGUCUGGUCUGUAACUGACGCUGAGGCUCGAAAGCAUGGGUAGCGAACAGGAUUAGAUACCCUGGUAGUCCAUGCCGUAAACGAUGAAUGCUAGGUGUUGGAGGGUUUCCGUCCUUCAGUGCCGCAGCUAACGCAUUAAGCAUUCCGCCUGGGGAGUACGACCGCAAGGUUGAAACUCAAAGGAAUUGACGGGGGCCCGCACAAGCGGUGGAGCAUGUGGUUUAAUUCGAAGCAACGCGAAGAAACCUUACCA
rnacentral:rRNA from 2 species